UACAGAGGGUGCAAGCGUUAAUCGGAAUUACUGGGCGUAAAAGCGUGCGCAGACGGUUGCGUAAGUCAGAUGUGAAAGCCCCGGGCUCAACCUGGGAAUUGCAUUUGAGACUGCGUAGCUAGGGUGCGGAAGAGGGGAAGCGGAAUUUCCGUGUAGCGGUGAAAUGCGUAGAUAUCGGAAGGAAACACCAGUGGCGAAAGCGGCUUCCUGGUCCAGCACCGACGUUCAGGCACGAAAGCGUGGGGAGCAAACAGGAUAGAUACCCU
rnacentral:rRNA from 1 species